GUCGGGGUGGCUCAGCCUGGUCAGAGCGCCUGACUCAUAAUCAGGAGGCCGCGGGUUCAACUCCCGCCCCCGAC
rnacentral:tRNA from 1 species